CACGUAGGGGGCGAGCGUUGUCCGGAUUUAUUGGGCGUAAAGAGCUCGUAGGCGGUUCGGCAAGUCGGGUGUGAAAUUUCGAGGCUCAACCUCAAAACGCCACUCGAUACUGCUGUGACUGGAGUCCGGUAGAGGAGUGGCGGAAUUCCUGGUGUAGCGGUGAAAUGCGCAGAUAUCGAGGAGGAACACCAACGGCGAAGGCAGCACUCUGGGCCGGUACUGACGCUGAGGAGCGAAAGCGUGGGGAGCGAACAGG
rnacentral:rRNA from 1 species